rnacentral:ncRNA from 1 species
GUUCUCAAAAAGGGGUGCCAAUAAGUGGCUGAGAUCAUACCCAUUGAACCUGAGCAGGUAAUGCUGCUAAGGAAUUUACAGAUAACUUGUU